CGGGUUGGAGCCAGGUAGGAUCGGCACCUCAUUUGGGUUGAGGAUCAGCUAUGUUCGAAUCGUAGUAACCCGA
rnacentral:tRNA from 1 species